rnacentral:rRNA from 1 species
GAUGAACGCUGGCGGCGUGCCUAAUACAUGCAAGUCGAGCGAAUGGAUUAAGAGCUUGCUCUUAUGAAGUUAGCGGCGGACGGGUGAGUAACACGUGGGUAACCUGCCCAUAAGACUGGGAUAACUCCGGGAAACCGGGGCUAAUACCGGAUAACAUUUUGAACCGCAUGGUUCGAAAUUGAAAGGCGGAUUAGGCUGUCACUUAUGGAUGGACGCGCGUCGCAAUAGCUAGUUGGUGAGGUAACGGCUCACCAAGGCAAUGAUGCGUAGCCGACCUGAGAGGGUGAUCGGCCACACUGGGACUGAGACACGGCCCAGACUCCUACGGGAGGCAGCAGUAGGGAAUCUUCCGCAAUGGACGAAAGUCUGACGGAGCAACGCCGCGUGAGUGAUGAAGGCUUUCGGGUCGUAAAACUCUGUUGUUAGGGAAGAACAAGUGCUAGUUGAAUAAGCUGGCACCUUGACGGUACCUAACCAGAAAGCCACGGCUAACUACGUGCCAGCCGCCGCCGUAA